rnacentral:rRNA from 1 species
AGAGGUCCCGAGCGUUGUUCGGAUUCACUGGGCGUAAAGGGUGCGUAGGUGGCUUGUUAAGUUGAAGGUGAAAUCUCGGGGCUCAACUCCGAAACUGCCUUCAAUACUGGCGAGCUCGAGGAUUGUAGAGGAGAAUGGAAUUCACGGUGUAGCAGUGAAAUGCGUAGAUAUCGUGAGGAAGACCAGUGGCGAAGGCGAUUCUCUGGGCAAUUCCUGAUACUGAGGCACGAAGGCCAGGGGAGCAAACGGGAUUAGAUACCCCGGUAGUCCUGGCAGUAAACGGUGCACGUUUGGUGUGGGAGGAUUCGACCCCUUCCGUGCCGGAGCUAACGCGUUAAACGUGCCGCCUGGGAAGUACNNNNNNNNNAUUA